rnacentral:tRNA from 1 species
CAUUAGAAAGCUUAAAGCAAUGGCCUUUUAAUCCAUAGAUGAUUUUAUAUCUCCAAUGA